rnacentral:rRNA from 1 species
AUUGAACGCUGGCGGCAUGCUUUACACAUGCAAGUCGAACGGUAACAGGCCGCAAGGUGCUGACGAGUGGCGAACGGGUGAGUAAUGCAUCGGAACGUGCCCAGUCGUGGGGGAUAACGCAGCGAAAGCUGUGCUAAUACCGCAUACGAUCUAUGGAUGAAAGCGGGGGACCGUAAGGCCUCGCGCGAUUGGAGCGGCCGAUGUCAGAUUAGGUAGUUGGUGGGGUAAAGGCCUACCAAGCCGACGAUCUGUAGCUGGUCUGAGAGGACGACCAGCCACACUGGGACUGAGACACGGCCCAGACUCCUACGGGAGGUAGCAGUGGGGAAUUUUGGACAAUGGGCGCAAGCCUGAUCCAGCAAUGCCGCGUGCAGGAUGAAGGCGUUAUGCGUUGUAAACUGCUUUUAUACAGGAAGAAACGACUCUCACUAAUACUGGGGGCUAAUGACGGUACCGUAAGAAUAAGCACCGGCUAACUACGUGCCAGCCGCCGCGGUAAAAC